CGGACGGGUGAGUAACGCGUGAGAAUCUGGCUUCAGGUCUGGGACAACCACUGGAAACGGUGGCUAAUACCGGAUGUGCCGAGAGGUGAAAGGUUAACUGCCUGAAGAUGAGCUCGCGUCUGAUUAGCUAGUUGGAAGUGUAAUGGACUCCCAAGGCGACGAUCAGUAGCUGGUCUGAGAGGACGAUCAGCCACACUGGGACUGAGACACGGCCCAGACUCCUACGGGAGGCAGCAGUGGGGAAUUUUCCGCAAUGGGCGAAAGCCUGACGGAGCAAUACCGCGUGAGGGAGGAAGGCUCUUGGGUCGUAAACCUCUUUUCUCAGGGAAGAACAAAAUGACGGUACCUGAGGAAUAAGCAUCGGCUAACUCCGUGCCAGCAGCCGCGGUAAUACGGAGGAUGCAAGCGUUAUCCGGAAUGAUUGGGCGUAAAGCGUCCGCAGGUGGCUAUGUAAGUCUGCUGUUAAAGAGUCUAGCUCAACUAGAUAAGAGCAGUGGAAACUACAUAGCUAGAGUACGUUCGGGGCAGAGGGAAUUCCUGGUGUAGCGGUGAAAUGCGUAGAGAUCAGGAAGAACACCGGUGGCGAAGGCGCUCUGCUAGGCCGUAACUGACACUGAGGGACGAAAGCUAGGGGAGCGAAUGGGAUUAGAUACCCCAGUAGUC
rnacentral:rRNA from 1 species